UACGUAAGGACCGAGCGUUGUCCGGAAUCAUUGGGCGUAAAGGGUACGUAGGUGGUUAGAAAAGUUAGAAGUGAAAGGCUAUAGCUCAACUAUAGUAAGCUUUUAAAACUGUUUAACUUGAGAGAUGGAAGGGAAAGUGGAAUUCCUAGUGUAGCGGUGAAAUGCGCAGAUAUUAGGAGGAAUACCGGUGGCGAAGGCGACUUACUGGUCUGUGAUUGACGCUGAGGCUCGAAAGCGUGGGUAGCGAACAGG
rnacentral:rRNA from 1 species